CCUACGGGUGGCAGCAGUGAGGAAUAUUGGUCAAUGGGCGCGAGCCUGAACCAGCCAAGUAGCGUGAAGGAUGAAUGCCCUACGGGUUGUAAACUUCUUUUAUAAAGGAAUAAAGUGAGGCACGUGUGCCUUUUUGUAUGUACUUUAUGAAUAAGGAACGGCUAACUCCGUGCCAGCAGCCGCGGUAAUACGGAGGAUCCGAGCGUUAUCCGGAUUUAUUGGGUUUAAAGGGAGCGUAGAUGGGUUGUUAAGUCAGUUGAGAACGUUUGCGGCUCAACCGUAAAAUUGCAAUUGAUACUGGCAGCCUUGUGUACAGUUGCGGUAGGCUGAAUUCGUGGUGUAGCGGU
rnacentral:rRNA from 1 species